GUACUGUGCGAACGUUGUUCGGAAUUACUGGGCUUAAAGGGUGCGUAGGCGGUCGAUCAAGUCGGGUGUGAAAUCCCUCGGCUCAACCGAGGAACUGCGCCCGAAACUAAUCGGCUUGAGUGAGAUAGGGGUGUGCGGAACUUCCAGUGGAGCGGUGAAAUGUGUUGAUAUUGGAAGGAACACCGGUGGCGAAAGCGGCACACUGGGUCUCAACUGACGCUGAGGCACGAAAGCCAGGGGAGCGAACGGGGAUUAGAUACCCCGGUAGUCCUGGCUGUAAACGUUGAGCACUAGACGGGAGGAGCUUCGGCUCAUCCGGUCGUAGCGAAAGCGAUAAGUGCUCCGCCUGGGGAGUAUGGUCGCAAGGCUG
rnacentral:rRNA from 1 species